rnacentral:sRNA from 1 species
AUGAGCUAUUAAUGAAAUUUAGUUCAAGUUUUACCUCAGUCUUUUUUCGAUACCCUUCGUUCAACCUCUGUGAUAGCUUCUCCUUUAUAAUCCAUAUAAUAGCUUCUGUUUUAAGCCCUAAUAAAUCAUUGUAAAUAUUAUCUCUAGAGGUCUCUAUGUCUAAUAAAAUGACUGGUUCUGUAAAAUGGUUCAACGAAACUAAAGGUUUUGGGUUUUCUUACUCAAGAUAACGGUGGCAACGAUGUGUUUGUUCACUUUAAUUCUAUCCAGUCAGAAGGUUUUAAAACUUUGACUGAAGGUCAACGUGUUAGUUUCACGGUUGAACAAGGUAAGAAAGGCCCACAAGCGUCUAACGUAGUUACGCUGUAAGCCU